ACUUGAAAAGGUUGAAAACCAGCAUUGUAAUUAGUUUGUCAGUUCGAAACACCGGACUUUCGACUUCACAUUUACUUGGCGCAGUCCUAUCUACCCCAGGUAGGACUUCCUAUUCUGAAACAGCUUCUAAAAUGAGAGCGCUCCCCACCCCUCACGCCAUUGCUAACCCGAACGCGAAUGUGUGGGCCCACUGAGGUCAUGCCGUAGCUCGGGGAAGGCGAGCUCAGACUCGCUGCACUCAGUGCAGGCUUGGGGACGGUUCUCCCUGAAAUGUCUCUGGAAUUUAACUUCCCUGCGAAGGAGGAGGUGGUGGGGAAAAGGGGGAAAAUGCGCCAGUGUUUUUCCUCAGCCCCCGCCCCUGCCGGUCACUUCCAGCUCACAGCCAAGAAGCCAGGCGUGCCGCAGGACGGCUGAGCCUUGGCCUUACUGCUGAGCGACAGAGACACCGGAACAUCCGUCAGCCGAGAGCUGACGAAGGGCGAGAGGAACGUCAACGCAUCACGCGCACUUGUGAGACCCCCCCCCCCACAAAAUAUAAGUGACACCUGGCUCGUUCUUCUCGUGGAACGUCAGUGCCCUUUGACAGAGGUUUUUCACACUUUCCCAGGAAAGUAAACUGAAAGCCACUCUGUUUGGGAUCCACGCCCCAAAGGGACAACUUCACACGGGGUGGUGCUGUUUGCUCGGCUGCGAGAGACACACGAAUGCAGGGAAGAUUCUGAGGCCCACUGAGAGCUGUUAUUGUGUGAAACUAUUAACCAGGGGAAAACGCUGGGUGUGUGUGUGGGGGGGGGUGGGGGGGUGGGUGUUAUGACAACACUCAAGAUGAGUUCUGCCCUCUUGACAAAUCUUUAAGUGUAUAAUACGGUACUAAUUACAGGCAGGAUGAUGUACAGAUCUCCAGAACUCACUUGCCUGACUGGAACUCUGCACACCGAACAGCGACUCCCUGUCCCCCCCCCCCCCCCCCCAGCCCCUGGCAACCACCGUUCUAUUCCAGCUUCUAUGAGGUGGAGUAUUCUAGAUGCCUCAAGUAAGUGGAAUCAUGCAGCAUCUGUAUGGAGGGUCUAGUAGGGAACAUAACAUGUAGUUCGUACCAUGUCUGUGUACUUUAAAUACCUCGUGACAGAUGAAGGCCAACAAGGGACUACAGCUCCUUCUAGAAGCCCUGCUGUUUCUCUACACACUUGGACCUUAUCUGAUACCUAUUCCUUCUAGAUGUGACACAGACCAGGAAGAAACAGGCCCCCGCCAGCAUCGACAGGAACAGAAAGAGUCCCACAGCAAUCACGAUGAUUUGCUGGACUUUUGUGGCGGCUGAAAAGAUGACGCGGAAGUAAACAAGAGGCCCGUCCCACCCGUGGUACAAACGUCGGUAAUUUCUCACCUGCCAACCGCUUAGAGAGAGGUCGUUUCCUAGUAAAACCGGGCCGACGCUGCCCCUCCCCCGCCCAGCCUCACAUGCGUAGAUGACUAGCCAGGAAAGGCAAUCCUAAAAUAAAGCAGCGUUAGCUGGUGCUGUUAUUACGGUAGAUCUCAGCAUGAA